CAUAGAAUCUGAACAUUUAUCAGAACUCACAGAGGAGGAGUAUGAAGCCCAGUACAUAAAACGCCAGGACCUCAAAGGGUUUAUGUGGUUUGAUGCCAAGUAUUUGAAUCCUUUCUUCACCAGACGACUCACACAAGAAGACUUGCAUCACGGGCGCAUACAGAUGAAAACCCUCACAAACAAAUGGUAUGAGGAGGUACGACAAGGACCCUCAGGAUCUGAAGAUGAUGAGCAAGAGCUGCUAUAGCAAACUGGGGAAGGAAUACAAGGAGUUUAUCAUUAGAGCAUCGACGACGAUUUAAGUAACAACAAGAGUUUGACUGCACAAAAGCUGGAGAACUCAGAAUGAACCUUCUGAUUUCAGACUUGUGCUGUGUUUAGAUAUCAGAAAAGAUCUACUGUUCUUGAUAUUACUAGUGAGUGACUGAGAACCUCUUAACACUGUCAGAAGCUGGAGUGAAGCCAGACAUUUUCAGAUUUUACAGCAUAGUAAAUUUCUUGCAGCCUAUUAAAAAGCAGAAACAACCACCUUGAACUAAAGACACUGUUUAAUGUGGGGGUCUUCCUAUUAUGAAAUAUGCUGUAAAUGUAUGCUGAAGUACAGAGUCCAUUGUAUUGCUCUGCAAAACAGGAUGAAUUGCACUUUACCUUUUUUUUUUUUUAAUACUCAUUCACAGCAUAGAGAGUCUUGAUGGUUUAUACUGUGAAUUUGUUUCAGCACUAGUAAGAGAGUCUGUCAGGAAUAAAUCUGUAAUUUAUGGGUUUUGCACAUUUUGAAUCCAGAAUAGAUAAUAAGUACCUUGACAAAAAACAGAUGCUGCACAUAUAAGUAAGCACCUCUUAAAACUAGUGGUUUUGGAUUUUAAAAACUUCUGGAUUUCUGUUCUGUGGUUUUGGUGUUUUAUACUGAAGUAGUGUAAUCCACAGUACUGACUGUGGCAUGAUUUGGGCGGAGGGUAUUAUAUGACAAAGUACAGAACUGCUUUUGAAAUACUUUUUUUUUUUAAACACGAUUUUUUCUUUGUUUAAAACAGUUGCAUUUAGGUUUCUAUAAUUGGUGGUUGCUCCCUGUUAGCACUUUGGCUUCAAGUCUUAGGAAGCAGCUACUUUUGAUAUGGAUAAAUUCACAAAGUGUCCCUAACUCUCUCAAGAAAUCAUGAGCAGAAUUUUGGCAUUCUAGUGGAAGCAAAAGCAAUGUUUUUCCACAUCACUGUUUUGAGGAACAACAUGUGUGCGUGCAGAAGGGGAGUCUACAAAAUACAAUCUAGGUAUGGAGCAGUUUAACACUGCACAUUGCUGAAGCAUUCUCGGUUGGGAAGUGCCAAAGAAUUUUCAUUAAGUUGUCCUGCUAGUUUGAUUUUUCUCUCCUGCUGUUUCAAAAUCAGCAGCAACAUUUCACUUUUUCUAUGUGGCAUGGUCAAUUUGCUCAAAACUGCUUACACCUGAACAGACACAUUUACUUGUUACACAUUUGCCAUGGUUACAUGUGCAGGUGUUUUCUCACACUGCCAAUCCUAAUUGUCUCAUUAGCAUAUUCAUUAUUGGAAUUUGAAAUUGCAGUUUUGGGUGUAAAUCAAGCAUGCAAGUGUACAUGUUUGUUUCUGAAAGUAAUAUUUUUGGUUUGGUUUUGUUACUAGAGUUUUUAAUUAACUGCUUACCUUUUGGGAGAAAUAAAAGUUCAAGAAUGUAUUUGAAAUCUGAA